rnacentral:rRNA from 1 species
GAUGAACGCUGGCGGCGUGCCUAAUACAUGCAAGUCGAGCGAACAGACGAGGAGCUUGCUCCUCUGACGUUAGCGGCGGACGGGUGAGUAACACGUGGAUAACCUACCUAUAAGACUGGGAUAACUUCGGGAAACCGGAGCUAAUACCGGAUAAUAUAUUGAACCGCAUGGUUCAAUAGUGAAAGACGGUUUUGCUGUCACUUAUAGAUGGAUCCGCGCCGCAUUAGCUAGUUGGUAAGGUAACGGCUUACCAAGGCAACGAUGCGUAGCCGACCUGAGAGGGUGAUCGGCCACACUGGAACUGAGACACGGUCCAGACUCCUAAGGGAGGCAGCAGUAGGGAAUCUUCCGCAAUGGGAGAAAGCCUGACGGAGCAACGCCGCGUGAGUGAUGAAGGUCUUCGGAUCGUAAAACUCUGUUAUUAGGGAAGAACAAAUGUGUAAGUAACUAUGCACGUAUUGACGGUACCUAAUCAGAAAGCAACGGCUAACUACGUG